rnacentral:SRP_RNA from 1 species
GCCAGGUGUGGUGGCGUGUGCCUGUAGUCCCAGCUACUCAGGAGGCUGAGGCAGGAGAAUCACUUGAACCUGGGAAGCGGAGGUUGCAGUGAGCCGAGAUCAUGCCACUGCACUCCAGCCCAGGUGACAGAGUGAGACUCUGUCUCAA